UACGGAGGGUGCAAGCGUUGCUCGGAAUUAUUGGGCGUAAAGGGCGCGUAGGCGGUUUGAUAAGUCUGAUGUGAAAUCUCUGGGCUCAACCCAGAGUCUGCAUUAGAAACUGUCGGGCUUGAGUAUGGGAGAGGUGAGUGGAAUUUCCGGUGUAGCGGUGAAAUGCGUAGAUAUCGGAAGGAACACCUGUGGCGAAAGCGGCUCACUGGACCAUAACUGACGCUGAGGCGCGAAAGCUAGGGGAGCAAACAGG
rnacentral:rRNA from 1 species